UUCUAGAGAUAGAAAGUUACUUCGGUACAUCGGUGACAGGUGGUGCAUGGUUGUCGUCAGCUCGUGUCGUGAGAUGUUGGGUUAAGUCCCGCAACGAGCGCAACCCCUAUUGUUAGUUGCCAUCAUUCAGUUGGGCACUCUAGCGAGACUGCCGGUAAUAAACCGGAGGAAGGUGGGGAUGACGUCAAAUCAUCAUGCCCCUUAUGACCUGGGCUACACACGUGCUACAAUGGUUGGUACAACGAGUUGCGAGUCGGUGACGGCGAGCUAAUCUCUUAAAGCCAAUCUCAGUUCGGAUUGUAGGCUGCAACUCGCCUACAUGAAGUCGGAAUCGCUAGUAAUCGCGGAUCAGCGCGCCGCGGUGAAUACGUUCCCGGGCCUU
rnacentral:rRNA from 1 species